rnacentral:rRNA from 1 species
CAACCGUUGGAAACGACGGCUAAUCCCCAAUGUGCCGAGAGGUGAAAGGGUUUCCGCCUGAAGAAGAGCUCGCGUCCGAUUAGUCAGUUGGUGAGGUAAGAGCUCACCAAGGCNGCGAUCGGUAGCUGGUCUGAGAGGAUGAGCAGCCACACUGGGACUGAGACACGGCCCAGACUCCUACGGGAGGCAGCAGUGGGGAAUUUUCCGCAAUGGGCGAAAGCCUGACGGAGCAACGCCGCGUGUGGGAAGAAGGCUCUUGGGCUGUCAACCACUUUUCUCAGGGAAGAAGACCUGACGGUACCUGAGGAAUCAGCCUCGGCUAACUCCGUGCCAGCAGCCGCGGUAAUACGGAGGAGGCAAGCGUUAUCCGGAAUUAUUGGGCGUAAAGCGUCCGCAGGGGGCGCAUCAAGUCUGCUGUUAAAGGCUGGAGCUUAACUCCGGUAGAGCAGUGGAAACUGGUGCGCUAGAGGGCGACAGGGGUAGAGGGAAUUCCCAGUGUAGCGGUGAAAUGCGUAGAGAUUGGGAAGAACACCGGUGGCGAAAGCGCUCUACUGGGUCGCACCUGA